rnacentral:rRNA from 1 species
AUUGAACGCUGGCGGCAGGCCUAACACAUGCAAGUCGAGCGGGGUUUUCGGACCUAGCGGCGGACGGGUGAGUAAUGCGUAGGAAGCUACCCGAUAGAGGGGGAUACCAGUUGGAAACGACUGUUAAUACCGCAUAAUGUCUACGGACCAAAGUGUGGGACCUUCGGGCCACAUGCUAUCGGAUGCGCCUACGUGGGAUUAGCUAGUUGGUGAGGUAAUGGCUCACCAAGGCGACGAUCCCUAGCUGGUUUGAGAGGAUGAUCAGCCACACUGGAACUGAGACACGGUCCAGACUCCUACGGGAGGCAGCAGUGGGGAAUAUUGGACAAUGGGCGCAAGCCUGAUCCAGCCAUGCCGCGUGUGUGAAGAAGGCCUUCGGGUUGUAAAGCACUUUCAGUAGGGAGGAAGGGUUAAGUGUUAAUAGUACUUAACUUUGACGUUACCUACAGAAGAAGCACCGGCUAACUCUGUGCCAGCCGCCGCCGUAAAAC